GCCUAGAAUGGGUUUCAGCCUUGGGGGGUGGUUCACAAUAACUGCAGGAGCCACCAUUGAUUUGCUGUCUGCUGGAUGCAAAGCCCAGCGUUAACCCUUCACUCGCGACUUUCGCUUCACCUUCACAGCAGCCCUGCGAGGAGGCCGGCCCUGGCCAGAUGAAACUCACCUGACAUUCCCAAGGUGUCUGCACGAGUGGCUUUGGGAGUUACUGAACUCUUCAGGACCUGGGUACAGGAGAGUUUUGGACUGGGGCAACCUUUACCAGUGUUGAGAAGUGAUGCUGUGUGGCAGUGCUGAAUCUCUCUGAAUAUGAUUCGAAUUGCAGCCUUAAAUGCCAGCUCCACCGUUGAGGAUGAUCAUGAAGGAAGCUUUAAAAGUCACAAAACCCAGACAAAGGAGGCUCAGGAAGCAGAGGCUUUUGCAUUGUACCACAAGGCCCUGGAUCUGCAGAAACAUGACCGGUUUGAGGAGUCUGCCAAAGCCUACCAAAAGCUCUUGGAGGCGCGUUUGCUGCGGGAGAUGGGGUCUCACUCUAUACCCCAGGCUGGAGUGCAAUGGCACAAUCUCAGCUCAUUGCAACCUCCGCCUCCCAGGUUAAAGCUAUCCUCCGGCCUCAGCUCUUGAAUAGCUGUGAUUAUAGCUAACCUGCCCCCCACCCGUGGCCAGGCACCUGCCUAUGGGGUUUCAUCUAUGCAGCCUCUGCAAACCACAGCAGUCUGAAGGUCAGGGUGUGGUCGAGAAAUGUUGCUCCAAGGGGGAAAAGCUGGAAAAGAGCAGGAAGCCAAAAAGCUUGAAGCCUGGUCAUUCCAGGUGGUACCCCAUCCAAGCAUCUGUUAGGCCCAACCCUGCUUAGCUUCUGGGCUGGGGGUCCUCAGUCUACUAUGGUGAUGGGAGGCUGCUGAAACAAACCCCCACGGAGAAGUUGCAGUUCGAGGUGGGGGCACUGGAGGGAGGAAAUGGGAGAUUAGGGAGUCAGAGGGCAGUUGGAAAUCGUUGCCAAAAGUGAAGGAAAGCAGGAAGUUAGCAGGAGUCCAAAAGUCUCCAGCCACUGGACUCCCAAGGUGGUCCCUCAUGCCCUCCUCUGCUCAGCUUGUAUGCUGGGGCACCCUCAGGCUGCUAUGCCAACUGGAGUCAGCCCAGCUAAUUUUUUGUAUUUUUAGUAAAGACAGGGUUUCACCUUGUUGACCAGGAUGGUCUCAAUCUCUUGACCUCGUGAUCCACCCGCCUCGGCCUCCCGAAGUGCUGGGAUUACAGGCUUGAGCCACUGCACCCAGCCUACUUUUCUUUUAAUUGGCUUAUUUUGUGAGCAUAACAACAAACAGAAUAAUUCAGACAGAAAUGGCUCUGGCCGGCAUGAUUCCAGGGAUGUGAAGCUCAAGAACAGACACUGCUAUGUGCAGUGCCAGAAGCCAGGGCACCAGCGGCGCAGGAAAUGUACUGAGGGAGAAAGAACACGAGGACACCUCCACCAGGUGGCAGCCACAAGGGCGUAUAGAUGUUUAAAGUAACAAUAAAUUUUAAAAAAGAAUCACACAUGUUAUGGACUAAAUGUGUCCCCCAAAAUUCAUAUGUUGAAGCCUUGAGGCCAGGUACAGUGGCUCAUGCCUAUAAUCCCAGCACUUUGGGAGGCCAAGGCAGGAGGAGCUCUUGAAUCUAGGAGUUCAAGACCAGCCUGGGCAACAUGGCCAAACCUUUUCUAUACAAAAAAAUUUUUUUAAAACCUUAGCCAGUGUGUUGGCACAUGCCUGCGGUCCCAGCUACUCAGGAGACUGAGGUAGGAGGAUUGCUUGAGCCCAGGAGGUUGAGGCUGCAGUGAGCCAUGAUCGCAACACUGUACUCCAGCCUGGGCAACAGAGUGAGACCCUGUCUCAAAAAAAAAAAAGCUAACCUCCAAUGUCACAGUGCAGUAUAUGGAGGGGGGGGGCCUUUGUGAUACAAUUAGGUUAGAUGAGGAUGGGGCCCCUUCGAUGGAAUUAGUGGCCUUCUAAGAAGAGGAAGAGACACCAUAACUGCCCUCUUCCUCCUCCUCCCCUUCAUGCUCCACCCCCCUCCUCCCACCUUCCUUGUGAGGACCCAGGGGCCAUCUGCAAACCCAAGGAGAGAGCCCUUGCCGGACCUGAAUCCACAGCCCCUCGAAGCUGGGCUUCCAGCAUACAGAACUGUGAGGGAUGAACAUGCCUUGUUUAAGCCCCCAGUCCAUUCAGCAGUAUUCUAUUCCAGCAGCCCAGGAAAGCUAAGUCUACACAGCAGGAAAAUGCUGAAGCCACGAAGGAACCCAGGGGUCUGAUUUCCAGAGCUUUCAUCGUGACUACCCCGUGUUUGCUUUCCUAGAGAGGACUCUAGAAACCUGAACCCGCCCCCCUUCAGCUCCCCACCGCCCUGGCAAAGGGCUCCAGCUGCUCUGGAUGAUGAGGAAGCCAGGCACCUCUGACAAGGUACCUCCCCGUGGUGGGGCCGUGCAUCGCAGGGUCCAACAGCACCUCCGGCCUCCAUGCAGUACCCUAGCAGCCCACCUCCCCACAAUUGUGACAACCAGAAAUGUUGCCACACAUUGUCAAGUGUCUCCUGGGAGCAAAAUCACUGGGCUGAGAACCGCGGCUGCGUGGGAAGUUGGCACACAGCCGGGAGAGUCAGCACCAAAGAGAAGCAACAAUUAACGCAGCGAUAAUAAAUGCAACAAUAACAGCUACUGUAGAAACAAUCAUUUUGAUCAUCACAACCACAACAAAAGCAAUCGCAGGAGCAGGGGCAGCAGCAUACACAACCUCACAGUGCCCCAGCAGGACAGCACAUGGCUAAUUGUGGAGUGUGUGUGAAGUGUGUGUGGUGAGUGGUGUGUGUCUGUGUGAGGUGUGUGCACUGUGGAGUGUGGUGAGUGGUGUGUGUGUGAGGUGUGCACUGAGUGUGGGUGGUGCAUGUCUACAGGUAUAGGAUGAGUCUGUGGGUGUGGAGGGCGUGUCCACGGGGGUGGAAGGACACCCCCGUGGUAGUCAGCAAUGCCCCCAAAACCCCAUGUGUCAGGAACCAGGCUCGGCCUUGCUGGCGAGGUCACCGGAGCCUGUCGCUGCAAACAGCGUCCCUGGGAAAAGAGAAGGCUGCAGUGACCCCCAGACCUGUGACCUGCUGGGGGUCCCGCCGGCUGCAGGUGGCUGGGGUCGAAUUGUGUUCUGGGCAAUGCUGGUGCCACUUAAUGAAAUACACACAGGGCGGCCAGGCGGCUCCCUUGGCCCAGACCUCAGCCUCCCUGAAGUGACUCCGGAUGGCCCCGAGAGUCCCCGCGUCCUACAACCACCCACGCUGGCUGCGCACAACCUGUUUGCGUAGCUGCUAGGAGGUGGCCAUGGCGAGUAAUCUGGGCUGAGGGAAGCCUGGCGCUAACACAAUCCCCUCUGACGGUCAAAGUCAGAAUCACAACUGCCCACACAGGGGCUGGGAAUGGCUGGGUCCCCACAGACCCUUCCAGAAGCCAACAGGCCGGGAGGUGCUGGAUGAACAGGAGCAGAAUGGAUUAAAGAUGAAGCACAAAUAAAAAUGGGAUUGGGGCAAGGUGGCCCGGGGUGCCUGGGCCCCCAGGUGGCUUCAGAUGCAUGGCUGUGGGUCUGUCGGGCCCCUCCUGUGUGCCGGCUUCCCCCGCAGAUCUCAGGAGCCCAGUGCCUGCCUGGGCCUUGAGCAGGAGUUCAGGGGACACUCAGUGAGUGCCAGGCACCAGGCAGUGAUGGUGUGAUGGAGUAAAGUCGCUGACCAGAAACUAUGUGUGGUGCCCAGGGAGCGGGGCUGUGGACAGGGCCACCGGGUCUCCCUCAGCCACAGAUGAGGAACCCAGGCUAUCAGAGGUGAGGCGCCUGAACCCGCUUGGCCCCAGACCCCAGCUUUGCUGCCUCCGGCCCUGAGAUUCUCCACUUCCACACUCGUGACUGCCCACUUACCCAAAUAAGCCUGGGGCCCCAGUCACACACCUCACGCUACGCCAGGCAGCAAGGAGGGCCCCGGCCAAUGCGGAGCCUGGCACGGGGCCGAUGCUCCAGAGAUGCUUGUGAAUGGGAGGGAAAAGCAGAGGCUGCCACCGCAUGUGGCAGAUGGGGAAACUGGGCCCCAAAAAGGGCAGGGGCACAGGAGAAGCCGUGGAAGGGCCAGGGCAGACCCCAGGCUGGGCCGUGGCAGCCCCCGCCCCACAGCCUACCCUGAGCCUGAAGCAACGGUGGGAGGAGGAAGGGAAAGAAAAGCCACAGAGGUGGGUGGCCAGAUGGGCAGGGGCUGCCCCGAGCCACUGCCUCCAUCACCCCCGGCCUGCAAGGGGGUGAAUGCCAAGGCUUCUGCAGCCUCCAAGGAGGCAGCCGUUGCCAUGGUGACCACCGUUAUCUGGCAACUGAGCUGCAUCGUCCUGGGCACCUGCUGUCUGUUCUCUGGAGCUGCUGGCUGGCUCUAGGGACAGACCUGUGUCCAAGAGCCCCCCGUCUCAGAAAACCCACCUGUGGGGACAAGCCAGGGUCUUGCAUGCAGGCUGGAGUGCGGUGACACGGUCACAGCUCACUGCAACCUUGACCUACUGGAUUCAAGGGCCCUCCCACCUCAGCUUCUCAAGUAAUUGGGACCACAGCUGUUGGCUGGACACAGUGGCUUACAUCUGUAAUUCCGGAAUUGGGGAGGCUAAGGUGGGUGAAGUGCUUGAACCCAGAAGUUUGAGACCAGCCUAGGCGACAUGGCAAAACCGAGUCUCUACAUCUUGACACAACAAAACAAAACCUGAAAUUAGCCGGUCAUCUGCAGUCCCAGCUACAUACUCAGGAAACUAAGGCCAGCGGAUCUGUUGAGUCCUGGAGAUCGAGGCUGCAGUGAGCCACCAUCAUACCACUGCACUCCAGCCUGGGCAACAGAAAGAGACCCUGUCUCAAAAAAAUAAUAAAGUACAUAAAUAAACUGUG